AUGGGAAGUUAUUGGGAUUCAAUCCUUCUCCUCGACCGGGCGAAAAGGGAUGAUGAUCGGUGCCGAUCCAAGUAUGGAAAAUACUGGAAAUCGUACUGCGAGAAGGUUCGGUACAGGGUCAUCCCCGGAAUUUACUGAGAAAAUGUUGCACAAGUGUUUGUUCUAUGUUGAGAAUGGCAUGUAUAUUCAGCCUUUCCAAAUUAAAUGAUGGCAGGCUGGUAUCAUGUUGUUGUUAUUGUUGUUUUUGUAAUGGUCAACUUUAUGGAUGUUGUAUUUCUCUCAUCUUCAAUGACCAAAAACUUUUCUUGUUUAGGAAAA